rnacentral:rRNA from 1 species
GGAGGGGCUCGCGGCCCAUCAGCUAGUUGGUGAGGUAAAGGCUCACCAAGGCGAAGACGGGUAGGGGGUGUGAGAGCACGGCCCCCACAAUGGGACUGAGACACGGCCAUACUCCUACGGGAGGCAGCAGCAGGGAAUAUUGCACAACGGACGGAAGUCUGAUGCAGCGACGCCGCGUGGAUGAAGAAGGCCUUCGGGUUGUACAAUCCUUUUAGUGGGGAAGAGACAGGACGGUACCCACAGAAUAAAGCGUCGGCUAACUACGUGCCAGCAGCCGCGGUAAGACGUAGGACGCAAGCGUUAUCCGGAUUACUGGGCGUAAGCGUCUGUAGGCGGA